AUUGAACGCUGGCGGCAGGCCUAACACAUGCAAGUCGAGCGAGCGGCGGACGGGUGAGUAAUGUAUGGGGACUGCCCGAUAGAGGGGGAUAAAUACUGGAAACGGUGGCUAAUACCGCAUACUAUCGGAUAACCCAUAUGGGAUUAGCUAGUAGGUGGGGUAAAGGCUCACCUAGGCAACGAUCUCUAACUGGGAUGAGAGGAUGAUCAGCCACACUGGUACUGAUAAACGGCCCAGACUCGUACGGAGUCAGCAGGUGGGAAUAUUGCACAAUGGGCGCAAGCCUGAUGAAGCCAUGCCGCUUGUAUCAAGAAGGCCUUAGGGUUGUAAAGUACUUUCAGCUGGGUGGCGUUACCUGCAGAAGAAGCACCGGCUAACUCCGUGCCAGCAGCCGCGGUAAUUC
rnacentral:rRNA from 1 species